rfam:Escherichia coli ISC11, WGS project CBWP01000000 data, contig: c2
CAUCAAAAUUCGUGCCGAAAUUGCGUGUUCUUCGUAGAACGCGUAUACUUUUUUCGUUGACAUAACACAGUGUGUUCGGCGGCUACCAACCGCACAACGCUGAAAAAAACCUCGCUCCGGCGGGGUUUUUU